UACGAAGGGGAGGCUAGCGUUGUUCGGAAUCACUGGGCGUAAAGCGCACGUAGGCGGAUUGUUAAGUCGGGGGUGAAAUCCUGAGGCUCAACCUCAGAACUGCCUUCGAUACUGGCAAUCUCGAGUCCGGAAGAGGUUGGUGGAACAGCUAGUGUAGAGGUGAAAUUCGUAGAUAUUAGCUAGAACACAAGUGGCGAAGGCGGCCAACUGGUCCGGUACUGACGCUGAGGUGCGAAAGCGUGGGGAGCAAACAGG
rnacentral:rRNA from 1 species